UUUGUGCGAAGGUAGCAUAAUCAUUAGUCUUUUAAUUGGAGGCUCGUAUGAAUGGUUGGACAAAAAGCAAACUGUCUCAAUUAUAUUUAUUGAAUUUAACUUUUAAGUGAAAAGGCUUAAAUAAAUUAAGGGGACGAUAAGACCCUAUAAAGCUUUACAAUAAGUUACCUAUAUUAUAAAUUGUUAGUAUAACUUGAGUUUAGGUAACGUUUGUUGCGUUGGGGCGACGAGAAUAUAAUAAGUAACUGUUCUUAAGUUAUUUAAUGACAGAAAUUUCUGGAAAAUUAAUGAUCCUCUACUAGAGAUCAUAAGAUUAAGUUACUUUAGGGAUAAACAGCGUAAUCUUCUUUGA
rnacentral:rRNA from 1 species